rnacentral:lncRNA from 1 species
AUGGAUGUAGGUCAAACAGGGAAAGCUUGGACGAAAGAGGGAGACUCUUUUUAGUUUCACACCUAAUGGAAGGAGAGAAACCUUAGGGCCUAAGGUCACCGACCCGUGCAUUGAAUUGGUUGGCCAGAGACCCUUAUAUACCUGGUUGUUGUGGACACAAAAACUAUAAUAAUAGCAGUGGGAAGGAAUGGAAAGUAGGAAUUAAAAGUCCACAUUUGCUGUCGUCCUUCCAAGAUCCAGCCUCCGGCGUUCCUCAUCUUUGAACCGUCUCGAACCCAGACGAUUUCCUUCCCUAUAAAGUCGGCGCCCAGCUGCCCCCCACCUCUGUCUCUCUCUCUCUCUCUCUCUCUCACUCUCCU